rnacentral:tRNA from 1 species
GCCGCAGUAGCUCAGUUGGUAAGAGUGCGUCCUUGGUAAGGACGAGGUCCCGAGUUCAACUCUCGGCUGUGGCA